rnacentral:tRNA from 1 species
ACCUGGGUGGCUCAGUCGGUUAAGCAUCUGAUUUCGGCUCAGAUUAUGAUCUCAGUUUGUGUGUUCGAGCCCCACCUUGGGCU